ACUAAGCGUACACGGUGGAUGCCCUGGCAGUCAGAGGCGAUGAAGGACGUGCUAAUCUGCGAAAAGCGUCGGUAAGGUGAUAUGAACCGUUAUAGCCGGCGAUGUCCGAAUGGGGAAACCCAGUGUGAUUCGUCACACUAUCGUUAACUGAAUACAUAGGUUAACGAGGCGAACCGGGGGAACUGAAACAUCUAAGUACCCCGAGGAAAAGAAAUCAACCGAGAUUCCCCCAGUAGCGGCGAGCGAACGGGGAGCAGCCCAGAGUCUGAAUCAGCUUGUGUGUUAGUGGAACGGUCUGGAAAGUCCGACGGUACAGGGUGAUAGUCCCGUACACCAAAAUGCACAGGCUGUGAACUCGAAGAGUAGGGCGGGACACGUGGUAUCCUGUCUGAAUAUGGGGGGACCAUCCUCCAAGGCUAAAUACUCCUGACUGACCGAUAGUGAACCAGUACCGUGAGGGAAAGGCGAAAAGAACCCCGGCGAGGGGAGUGAAAAAGAACCUGAAACCGUGUACGUACAAGCAGUGGGAGCACCUUCGGGUGUGACUGCGUACCUUUUGUAUAAUGGGUCAGCGACUUAUAUUCUGUAGCAAGGUUAACCGUAUAGGGGAGCCGCAGGGAAACCGAGUCUUAACUGGGCGUUAAGUUGCAGGGUAUAGACCCGAAACCCGGUGAUCUAGCCAUGGGCAGGUUGAAGGUUGGGUAACACUAACUGGAGGACCGAACCGACUAAUGUUGAAAAAUUAGCGGAUGACUUGUGGCUGGGGGUGAAAGGCCAAUCAAACCGGGAGAUAGCUGGUUCUCCCCGAAAGCUAUUUAGGUAGCGCCUCGUGAACUCAUCUUCGGGGGUAGAGCACUGUUUCGGCUAGGGGGUCAUCCCGACUUACCAACCCGAUGCAAACUACGAAUACCGAAGAAUGUUAUCACGGGAGACACACGGCGGGUGCUAACGUCCGUCGUGAAGAGGGAAACAACCCAGACCGCCAGCUAAGGUCCCAAAGUCAUGGUUAAGUGGGAAACGAUGUGGGAAGGCACAGACAGCCAGGAUGUUGGCUUAGAAGCAGCCAUCAUUUAAAGAAAGCGUAAUAGCUCACUGGUCGAGUCGGCCUGCGCGGAAGAUGUAACGGGGCUAAACCAUGCACCGAAGCUGCGGCAGCGACACUAUGUGUUGUUGGGUAGGGGAGCGUUCUGUAAGCCUGCGAAGGUGACCUGUGAGGGUUGCUGGAGGUAUCAGAAGUGCGAAUGCUGACAUAAGUAACGAUAAAGCGGGUGAAAAGCCCGCUCGCCGGAAGACCAAGGGUUCCUGUCCAACGUUAAUCGGGGCAGGGUGAGUCGACCCCUAAGGCGAGGCCGAAAGGCGUAGUCGAUGGGAAACAGGUUAAUAUUCCUGUACUUGGUGUUACUGCGAAGGGGGGACGGAGAAGGCUAUGUUAGCCGGGCGACGGUUGUCCCGGUUUAAGCAUGUAGGCUGGUUGUCCAGGCAAAUCCGGAUAAUCAAGGCUGAGGUGUGAUGACGAGGCACUACGGUGCUGAAGUAACAAAUGCCCUGCUUCCAGGAAAAGCCUCUAAGCAUCAGGUAACAUCAAAUCGUACCCCAAACCGACACAGGUGGUCAGGUAGAGAAUACCAAGGCGCUUGAGAGAACUCGGGUGAAGGAACUAGGCAAAAUGGUGCCGUAACUUCGGGAGAAGGCACGCUGGUGUGUAGGUGAAGUCCCUGCGGAUGGAGCUGAGACCAGUCGAAGAUACCAGCUGGCUGCAACUGUUUAUUAAAAACACAGCACUGUGCAAACACGAAAGUGGACGUAUACGGUGUGACGCCUGCCCGGUGCCGGAAGGUUAAUUGAUGGGGUUAUCCGUAAGGAGAAGCUCUUGAUCGAAGCCCCGGUAAACGGCGGCCGUAACUAUAACGGUCCUAAGGUAGCGAAAUUCCUUGUCGGGUAAGUUCCGACCUGCACGAAUGGCGUAAUGAUGGCCAGGCUGUCUCCACCCGAGACUCAGUGAAAUUGAACUCGCUGUGAAGAUGCAGUGUACCCGCGGCAAGACGGAAAGACCCCGUGAACCUUUACUAUAGCUUGACACUGAACAUUGAGCCUUGAUGUGUAGGAUAGGUGGGAGGCUUUGAAGCGUGGACGCCAGUCUGCGUGGAGCCAACCUUGAAAUACCACCCUUUAAUGUUUGAUGUUCUAACGUUGGCCCCUUACCGGGGUUGCGGACAGUGUCUGGUGGGUAGUUUGACUGGGGCGGUCUCCUCCCAAAGCGUAACGGAGGAGCACGAAGGUUAGCUAAUCCUGGUCGGACAUCAGGAGGUUAGUGCAAUGGCAUAAGCUAGCUUGACUGCGAGCGUGACGGCGCGAGCAGGUGCGAAAGCAGGUCAUAGUGAUCCGGUGGUUCUGAAUGGAAGGGCCAUCGCUCAACGGAUAAAAGGUACUCCGGGGAUAACAGGCUGAUACCGCCCAAGAGUUCAUAUCGACGGCGGUGUUUGGCACCUCGAUGUCGGCUCAUCACAUCCUGGGGCUGAAGUAGGUCCCAAGGGUAUGGCUGUUCGCCAUUUAAAGUGGUACGCGAGCUGGGUUUAGAACGUCGUGAGACAGUUCGGUCCCUAUCUGCCGUGGGCGCUGGAGAAUUGAGGGGGGCUGCUCCUAGUACGAGAGGACCGGAGUGGACGCAUCACUGGUGUUCGGGUUGUCAUGCCAAUGGCACUGCCCGGUAGCUAAAUGCGGAAGAGAUAAGUGCUGAAAGCAUCUAAGCACGAAACUUGCCCCGAGAUGAGUUCUCCCUGAGACUUUAAGUCUCCUGAAGGAACGUUAAAGACGAUGACGUUGAUAGGCCGGGUGUGUAAGCGCAGCGAUGCGUUGAGCUAACCGGUACUAAUGAACCGUGAGGCUUAACC
rnacentral:rRNA from 1 species